rnacentral:rRNA from 1 species
AACGAACGCUGGCGGCAGGCCUAACACAUGCAAGUCGAGCGGACCUUUCGGGGUCAGCGGCGGACGGGUGAGUAACGCGUGGGAAUAUGCCCUUCUCUACGGAAUAGUCCUGGGAAACUGGGGGUAAUACCGUAUACGCCCUUUGGGGGAAAGAUUUAUCGGGGAAGGAUUAGCCCGUGUUGGAUUAGGUAGUUGGUGGGGGAAUGGCCUACCAAGCCGACGAUCCAUAGCUGGUUUGAGAGGAUGAUCAGCCACACUGGGACUGAGACACGGCCCAGACUCCUACGGGAGGCAGCAGUGGGGAAUCUUAGACAAUGGGGGCAACCCUGAUCUAGCCAUGCCGCGUGAGUGAUGAAGGCCUUAGGGUUGUAAAGCUCUUUCAGCUGGGAAGAUAAUGACGGUACCAGCAGAAGAAGCCCCGGCUAACUCCGUG